CGGGGCUGCCCACGGCGGGGCCGGGCCCGCGGGGAGCGCCGCGCUACGGUGCUGUUCGUCCGCAGGGUUUUCGAGUCAGCGGGAGCCGGGAGGUGACCGGCCCUCUGAACGGCUCAUUACAGGAAGCAAAUCUGCAGAUGAAAACACAUGAAAUAGAACCAGAUCCCGCCAGAGCAUCAAACAUGAAAUAUGCCAGCGCCGCUCCACAGACAGCAUAAUCAAUGCCCUUCUUCCCACAGCAAAACCACCGAAAUUCUUUGUUCCUGUGCAGAGUUGUCCCAAAUCUACAGUUCAUCACUUCAUCCGGCAGAUGAGAUACCCCCACAGAAGCCAUGUGAGUGAAACCAACUAAUUGCCAUCUGAGAACGGGAGCAUACAGACAGACAAUAAAGUAGAGGAACACAUACUCAUCAUUAGCAGAAUGUGCUGGAAAAUAACAACCCAGGCUCUUCAGUCCUUAUCCCAAAGGAGACCUGCAAAAGACUCCCAGAAGGAAGAAAAUGAUGUGCAGAGCAGUGUUUUGGUUUUGUGAGGUUUUUUUUUCUUUUUUUCCUCCUCUAUUCUUGUUGCUCUGUAUUCAUACCAGGGAAAAUGAGGACGACGGCAAUUUCUGUGCUAGACUUUAUUUCCCAGGGAAGUUAAUUUCACAGUGUUGAGGCACCCAUAGAAAGAUGUCUCCUGCACAAAGGAACGUUAAAAUAUGUUAUGCCCAACCAAAGAAAAGCUAAUCUGUAUUCUUGACAUCUGGGACAGAAACAUCCAAAAAAAGAGAACGGCAUUUCCCUUCCUCCAGAAAAGGAGUUUCAACCUGUGGUCCUAAGGCUCCAGCAGAUUGAGGCAGAUUAUUAACAUAUACAGGGCAGUGCUCUACACAGCUAUAAAUAGGAAUAUCUGGAAACCAAAAGGAGUAAUGUAUCUUCUGAUUGCAUUGAAACAGACCGCUAUAGGACAGCUUGAAGGGAAACAGUGGGAAUAAACUAUUUCAUGUGAAAACACAGAGAGCAUUUCCUCCUACGUGAGGAGUCACACCACUGUUCCUCAAAGAGGAACCCUGAGUAAUCCCACAUGUUUGAGAGGCAGAGGUACAACAUGUGAGCUUCUGAAAGGCAGGAACUGAGGUGAAGAGAGGAAUCAUUUGUGCUCAAGUACUGAAAGCAGAAAUACCAGAAGACCUCAGGGAGACAGUAGACAGCAGAUUUAAUAUGUUUUUGCAAUGUUAUAUGGCAGCAAAAAUCAUGCAGUUAAUUUAAUUUGGGGUUGUAAAGGCAGAGACCUCUUCUCAGAGAUAUAGGCAAUAGUCCCAUUUUUUAAUAUAGCGGUGAGACCACGGUUUGAAGACAUGUUUAGAUCUGGACAGCUCAGUACAAGCUAGAUGUCAACGACUUGGAGGGAAAUAAAAAAAAAAAGAACAUAAAAUGAUAAAAAAGCUGGAAGGGAUUACAGUGUGUGUAGGUUGGCCAAAUAACAACUGUGAAGAGCAUCAUGGGAAUUGCGUAUGAGAACUUCAGGGGUGCAGAAGCACCAGGGAGCGAGAAAGACUGCUUAGGGUUGUCUGAGGGAGUGUAAAUGAUAUCAGUGUAAAUGAAAUUAAGCAAAAUAAGUAUUAAUCUGCAAAUCUGCAUGACAGCAUCCCAGAGGAGCUCCCAUCACCCAAUUCAUGGAAGACGAUUAAGAAGCAAUGUCUGCGGGAAGAGAUUAGAUGGGGACAGCAUGCCUUGGGGAUGUCCCACUUCUGACUGCCUAACUGCUUGCUAACUACAGUAUUUGCAGAGCAGGAGGUCUCAACCCUGUACAUGGGGGAAACUUUCUCAACAGCAUUGCUGUAGAUCAUAAUAGCCGAGCUUGGUUCCAGCAGGUAGCUAUGGAGGGAGUGCAGUACUUAAAGAGAUCUAAGGGGUGAUUGUAUCCUCAGAACAUUUCCUUUUCACCACUGUGAUUUUCUGGAGAUGUCCCUGGUUCAUCAUCUGGUCAGGACAACAAUGACAGCACUCCUUUGUUUAGUGUUGUUGUCAUGACAUUCUCUUGGAUCACACAGACCUUCCAAAAGCUGUCCUGGACAGCACCCACCUCUUCCAAGAAGUCUGUGGCAUCCAUAGACAGCAGCUAAUUGAGAUG
ensembl:lncRNA